rnacentral:lncRNA from 1 species
AUCUUAAUAUUGGCUUAAAAUGGUACUUGAAGUCUUUCCACCAUUAGAAAUGGAUGCAACAUAAAUGACAUAAGAUAAUCCUUCUUUUACAAUAUGCAAAAAAAUUCUUGCACCUACAAAUACAUGAUUAAUUGUAUUAGAUUUAUGAAUUUUUAUUUAAUCAAUUAUACUCUUAAUUAUGCUUUCAAAAAAGUUAAGACAUCAAGAAAUCUAAUCUAUUUUUGGAUUAUAGUUUUUUAGCCAUAAUAAAUCUAAAAUAAUUAGAUUGAAAGAAGAUCUUAUGAUAUUAAAGAUUAAAAAGCUACUAUGACCAUUAAUUGUUACUUUUAUAGGAAGGAUUUCAUGAAAAGAUAAUAGAUGAUUAUCUAUGACUUCUCUUAAACAUAUUUAGUUUUUUUUACUAAAAAUAUAUUAUAUUUGUUAACAAAUUUUUUAUCUAAGAAACAUGUUGAGGCCCUUUAAACUAACAAGGUAGAGGCUUUAUGAUGUUUUGGUCCUAAAAUAAUAUUUAUUGUAAAACAAAGAGAAGAUUCUCAGGAGAAAAUAGAACCUUUACUAGGAGUUAUGUAAGAUUUCACCCACUCGGUUCCUAUUAUAGCUAGACAAACUUAUUUUCUAACAUAUUAUUUUCUUUCAUAGCCAUACUCCUCAUUUUAUAGUUGCAUCGCUUCUUUAGACAAUGUUGAGCAGUAUGCUUAGGUUCUCCAUAAUAUAAGCAUAAUUCUUAAUGAUGAUAAUGAGUCUUUUGUUGCUUAAUAAGAAUUUUGAAAUAUAUUUUAUCAAUUUGUAUAUCUUCUACUUCCAAAUAUGUGUGUUGAGAAGAUAUUGACAUUGUCAUUGAAUUAUAGUAACAUUGAGG